rnacentral:tRNA from 1 species
UGGGCUUGUGGUCUAACGGUAUGACGCCGCCAUGGCAUGGCGGAGGCUCCGGGUUCGAUUCCCGGCAAGUCCAU